GGGGAAUCUUCCGCAAUGGACGAAAGUCUGACGGAGCAACGCCGCGUGAGUGAUGACGGCCUUCGGGCUGUAAAGCUCUGUUAAUCGGGACGAAUGGUUCUUGUGCAAAUAGUGCGAGGAUUUGACGGUACCGGAAUAGAAAGCCACGGCUAACUACGUGCCAGCAGCCGCGGUAAUACGUAGGUGGCAAGCGUUGUCCGGAAUUAUUGGGCGUAAAGCGCGCGCAGGCGGAUUGGUCAGUCUGUCUUAAAAGUUCGGGGCUUAACCCCGUGAUGGGAUGGAAACUGCCAAUCUAGAGUAUCGGAGAGGAAAGUGGAAUUCCUAGUGUAGCGGUGAAAUGCGUAGAUAUUAGGAAGAACACCAGUGGCGAAGGCGACUUUCUGGACGAAAACUGACGCUGAGGCGCGAAAGCCAGGGGAGCGAACGGGAUUAGAUACCCCGGUAGUCCUGGCCGUAAACGAUGGGUACUAGGUGUAGGAGGUAUCGACCCCUUCUGUGCCGGAGUUAACGCAAUAAGUACCCCGCCUGGGGAGUACGACCGCAAGGUUG
rnacentral:rRNA from 1 species